CCUACGGGGUGCAGCAGUGAGGAAUAUUGGUCAAUGGACGAGAGUCUGAACCAGCCAAGUAGCGUGAAGGAUGACUGCCCUAUGGGUUGUAAACUUCUUUUAUAUGGGAAUAAAACGUUCCACGUGUGGGAUUUUGUAUGUACCAUAUGAAUAAGGAUCGGCUAACUCCGUGCCAGCAGCCGCGGUAAUACGGAGGAUCCGAGCGUUAUCCGGAUUUAUUGGGUUUAAAGGGAGCGUAGGUGGAUUGUUAAGUCAGUUGUGAAAGUUUGCGGCUCAACCGUAAAAUUGCAGUUGAAACUGGCAGUCUUGAGUACAGUAGAGGUGGGCGGAAUGCGUGGUGUAGCGGUGAAAUGCUUAGAUAUCACGAAGAACUCCGAGUGCGAAGGCAGUUCACUGGACUGCAACUGACACUGAGGCUCGAAAGUGUGGGUAUCAAACAGGAUUAGAUACCCUAGUAGUC
rnacentral:rRNA from 1 species